AAUUAAUUAAUUUAUUAAUUCACUUAAUAUUUUGUUGUUAAUUAAUUGUACACAAUAUUAUUAUUUAACUACUAUAAUUACUCUUAUUCCUAUUAUUCCUAUCUAACUAUCCAAACACUAUUUUUCUUUUUUUUUUUUGAGAGAGAUAGGUAGCACGCUACCUGCUUCGUUUAUUUCAUUUAAAAAUAAACUUAGCUGGAAAUGUGAAUCAACUAGAAUUCGAACUUGGGACUUCAGGUACCAACCAUCAAGCCCUUUGCCACUUGCUCUAAGGACGGUCGGUACCAACCACCGAUCUCGGAUUCAAAUAUUAUUUUUCUUAUUCUCGAAAAUAACCCACUUUUCAUCCAAACGUAAAAUUGGUCUUAUUCCCGUUUAUCGAUCCCCAAGUUGUAUCUAUCUCCGGAAUAACAAAAGAAAUUUUAUUUGCGAACCAAACGAUACUUUAGAAUACAACGGUUAUUUCACAUAUUUAACAUGGUAUGAAGGCCGUACCAAAAGAAUACCACCUUCGCAAACAUAAUGACUUCAAUCUCCAAAUAUCCAUAUUUUUUU
rnacentral:lncRNA from 1 species